UAACAAAUCAAUGUCAUCGGGCCGAGCAGGAGCUCGAGCACCAGCCUCUUGUCCCUGACAGAUUCAUUUGAAUAUGUAACUGCUCAUGAUGUGCAACCAGGUUACGGAAGAAAGUGAAAACUUGGACGCAGUUCCGGUGAGAAUGAAUCAGUGAGCAUUCUUUCUCACCCACAAUAACUACGGCUCGUUAUCCAAGGGAACUUAACGAGCAUAUGUCGGAAUGUACUUUACAUUUUUAUUUUACAUAGCUCUGGAAAUAAAAAUAAUGGAAGGGGUCACAACAAAGAUGGUUGGAAAGGGGAGGGAGGCAGGCGAGAAGAAAGGGCAACAGCCUGAAAUCCAGACAGACUGCCACAGAGGGCACAAGACAGCUCUAUGUCACUGGAAAAUGCAGUUUCACCUCCCAUGAAUAUAAAAGCUAGCAGAAGGGAAGAAGUGAAACACAAAGAAAUAAAUGAUGUCAAUUUUAGUUGCUGUUUUCUGAAGAGUGAAGAGCCCA